AUGCUGGCUUGCUGCUGCUUUGUGUCCCAGUUGCUCAUCGUAAUAACGCUCAUACACCUUGCCAUGACCAAGAGCAAGGUCCGCAGUGGCACGUGCGCAUCGGCGAUGGUCCCGCUUCCACUUCCGCCGGGACCAUGGUCGUGGCCACUGGUAGGUAGCCUGCCCGAGAUGAUGCUCAAUAAGCCGGCGUUCCGUUGGAUCCAUCGCGUGAUGAAGGAUAUGGGCACCGACAUCGCUUGCUUCCGCCUCGGCGGUGUCCACGUCAUCCCGAUCACAUGUCCCAAGAUCGCAAGGGAGGUGCUCAAGAAGCAGGACAAGAACUUCUUGUCCCGCCCACUCACCUUCGCCUCCGACGCCAUCAGCUGCGGUUACAAGGACGCCGUGCUCACGCCGGUCGGCGACCAGUGGAUGAAGAUGCGCAAGGUGCUCACCUCUGAGAUCAUCUGCCCCUCCCGCCACAAGUGGCUCCAUGACAAGCGCGCCGACGAAGCUGACAACUUGACGCGCUACAUCUACAACCUCACCGCCGUGGGGUCAUCUUCAACGUUGGGACUAGCCAACAUCAAUGUCAGGCACGUCACGCAACAUUACUGCGGCAACGUCAUCCGCCGGCUUGCCUUCGGCCAACGGUACUUCGAGGAGCCUCAGCCGGACGGCGGGCCGGGGCCGAUGGAGGUGGAGCACAUGGACGCUUCCUUCACCCUCCUAGGGCUCCUCUUCUCGUUCUGUGUCAGCGACUACCUCUCGUGUCUACUUGGCCUAGACCUCGACGGCCAUGAGAAAAUUAUUAAGGAGGCCAACACAAAAGUGGAUAGACUGCACAACAUGGUCAUUGAAGAGCGUUGGAGGCAGUGGAACAACGGCGAGAGGCAGGACGGGGUCCAGGACUUCCUUGACAUUCUCAUCACGCUCGUCGAUGGUGACGGCAAGCCGUUGCUCAGCAUCGAUGAGGUCAAAGCACAGUGCAAGGACAUAAUAUUAGCGGCCAUAGAUAACCCGUCAAACGCAGUGGAGUGGGCGCUGGCGGAGAUGGUGAACAGCCCAGAAUUGCUGGCCAAAGCGGUGGAGGAGAUGGACCAGGUGGUCGGUCGCGAGCGACUGGUGCAAGAGUCGGACAUCAUGCAGCUCAACUAUCUCAAGGCGUGCAUACGUGAGGCAUUUCGCCUCCACCCAAUUGCUCCCUUCAACGUGCCGCACGUCGCAAUUGCCGACACCAUUGUUGCGGGCUACCGCGUGCCCAAGGGUAGCCACGUCAUCCUCAGCCGACUGGCCCUGGGCCAGAACCCCACCGUCUGGGAUGAACCACUCCACUUCAAGCCAGAGCGCCAUAUGGGAGACAACAUCAAUGUGGUGCUUACCGAGAGCGAAUUGCGGUUCAUCUCCUUUAGCACCGGACGGCGGGGAUGCAUCGCAGCAUCACUAGGAACAACGAUGAGUGUCAUGCUCUUCGGCAGGCUCCUGCAUGGCUUCACCUGGACCAAACCGGCUGGGGUGCCGGCCAUCAAUCUCCGCGAGUCCAAGCACGACCUCUUCAUAGAGAAACCGCUAGUGCUACAUGCUGAGCCACGUCUUGCAGCGCACCUCUACCCUCUUAUGCACCGUUGA
rnacentral:rRNA from 1 species